GGCUGGGCGGCAGGCUACCAUGCAAGUCGAACGGUAGCACAGAGAGCUUGCUCUCGGGUGACGAGUGGCGGACGGGUGAGUAAUGUCUGGGAAACUGCCUGAUGGAGGGGGAUAACUACUGGAAACGGUAGCUAAUACCGCAUAACGUCGCAAGACCAAAGAGGGGGACCUUCGGGCCUCUUGCCAUCAGAUGUGCCCAGAUGGGAUUAGCUAGUAGGUGGGGUAACGGCUCACCUAGGCGACGAUCCCUAGCUGGUCUGAGAGGAUGACCAGCCACACUGGAACUGAGACACGGUCCAGACUCCUACGGGAGGCAGCAGUGGGGAAUAUUGCACAAUGGGCGCAAGCCUGAUGCAGCCAUGCCGCGUGUAUGAAGAAGGCCUUCGGGUUGUAAAGUAC
rnacentral:rRNA from 1 species